rnacentral:hammerhead_ribozyme from 1 species
AUCCAUCUGACGAGUCCCAAAUAGAACGAAACGUGUGUGUUGGAU